CAAAUGAUCCACCUGCCUUGGCCUCUCGAAGUGCUGGGAUUGCAGGCAUGAGCCACCACGCCUGGCCUUCCUGGGACACCUUUACAGUGGGAAGCAAACAUUCACCAGAGCUGGGAGAAAAAAGCAUGCAAGAAUUGGAAUGAAGAGAUGCACUGGGCUGCUUCUGGACAAGCUGUCUGUCUAGGCAAGAGUCAGCAAAGUGGAUUGCCUUGCAUCAUGGCCAGGGUGUGUGCAUUCAACUUUGGCAGUCUUGGCCUGAGUGACAGAAUACUGGAAGGUCCUAAUAAGCUUCUCCAAUGAGCAUAGGCAGUGAUGGAACCAAACCAUCAAAAUGAGCUCUUCAAAGAAGAACCCAGGUUUUCCUCUUCAGCUGCAUAUGAUCAAUUCUAAUUAAAUGGUAAAGGAAAGAAGAAUAGAAGGAAAGAAUUCUUGAAAAUCUGGUAACUAACAUGGAAGCUGUGCUUUAUAUCAGGUUAUGUGAGUAAUCUUGAUCUGUCUACAAGCUCAAAGUUUCUAUCCAAAUAUAUUUAUCUGGAUCCGAGGCAGGAUCACUGCCAGGCUCUGUCACCUGCUCAGGAGAGUCACCUACCCAGUAUACAAGGGGAUAACCACAGGGCACACCGAAGCCAUUGCAGAACUUCCCAAGCUUGGGUCAGGCCUCCUGACUCUACACACGCACGUGUACUCCACCCAUUCCCAGCCUCCCAGCUUUCUUGACAAGUACCCAAGGAGGAUGGUUCUUGUCAACUCAUUGAUAAGGUCAUGGUAUUGUGGAGCAGGAGCUAACCUGUGUUCUAUUUUCAGCUCUCUUGUUAGCUGUGUGAGCUUGGGCAAGUGCCUCACCUUCUCUGAACCUGAGUUUUUGCAUCUGUUUAGGCCAUGAUAUUACCCUGCCUACCCCACAGUGUUAUCACGAAAUUCACAUGAACACACAUAUGAAGGUGCUUUGCAAACACUGUACAAGUGAAAUUGUAAGGUAUCCUGACUCAUGUGCUAAGGCCUUUUCAAGGCACAAGGACAAAUGUUUCCCAGGGAUCCUAUAGUUAGCCACUCUGAGGCAUUUUCCCUUAGGAGCCCAGCCCUGAGGGAAACUGGCUCAUGGCAGAUUUUUAAUCCGAACCCAGAGCUCUGGAGGCUUUAUAAUCCUAAAGACUAAACCAGGUGAACAACAAAAACAUCCAUAAAGCAAUUUGGGUAAAUUUCCAUGCUUCCAGGUAAUGCCUAGGUUUCUAAGGGGUUGCAUUUGUUUGUUCAGUCAUUCAAGAAUUUAUAGAUCAUCUUAACUCUGAGAUAAAGUGAAAAAAAGAGCUCAUGUUCCAGCAGAUGAGAAAGACAUGGAAACAGUCAUUGCAAGACACUGACAGGAGCCACAAACCAGGAUACCAGGCAUCUAAUAGGAAGGCUGGGCCCAUUCAGUCCAGAUUUAUAACAACUCCUCAAGGAAUCUGUGAAACCAACUGCAAGUACUUGUUGAGACUAAGCCAACAUUCUUUGCAGUAAGAACCAGAGAAAUUUUAUUCUCUGUGCUUAACAACAAAGGACUUCAAGAAUUGCUUCUGUCUCUCCUUCAUGAGAAAAGUGGCUGGCAAUCACUCUUAACCUGUCUAGUUGAAGGCAUAGCUCUGGUCUGAUCUAGGUCACCAUUGGGCUUCCUGUGCUGUCAUCUGCUGCCUCUUGCCGCAGAUUCCUGGUGGUAUGUCUCAGCCUUUGCAUGAAACACAACCAUGAAACACUAAGUGCCAAUCAUUUCCUAUAAACUGCUUUGAUUUCCUCCAUGAAGCUCUUUUAAAAAAUCUGGUAUUGUGGUAUUUAUAGCUUCCUGUUUCUGCCACCUACAUAUUCUGAUGGUUGUUGUGCUUUCUCUUUGGAGAUAGAUAAACAUUCACAGCACCAAAGGGAGUAAGGGCUUUGUACCUUUUUUCAUGGAAAGAGUUAGUCAUAUUUAGAUUGAAGUUAUAGCUUAAAAAGGAGCCCUCGUUGUAUAGAAACAUGGAUGCCAUGACACCUCCAGUGCAAUAUUUUUAAGCCUCUCCCUGCCAUUGGUCACUUACAUAGUACUGUUAAAUCACUCUGUGGAAUAUUGUUUCUAUC
rnacentral:lncRNA from 1 species